ACGCCGCGUGGAGGAUGACGGUCCUAGGAUUGUAAACUCCUGUCAUUGGGGAGUAAGACUUAAGCGUUAAGAGCGUUUAAGUUUGAUAGUACCCAAAGAGGAAGGGACGGCUAACUUCGUGCCAGCAGCCGCGGUAAUACGAAGGUCCCAAGCGUUGUUCGGAAUCACUGGGCGUAAAGCGUGUGUAGGCUGCGCGGAAAGUCAAAUGUGAAAGCCCGGGGCUCAACCUCGGAACUGCAUUCGAUACUCCCGUGCUAGAGUAAUGGAGAGGUAAGUGGAAUUCCUGGUGUAGCAGUGAAAUGCGUGGAUAUCAGGAGGAACAUCAAUGGCGAAGGCAACUUACUGGACAUUUACUGACGCUCAGACACGAAGGCUAGGGUAGCGAAAGGGAUUAGAUACCCCUGUAGUCCUAGCAGUAAACGGUGCUCGCUUGGUGUGGGAGGAUUCGACCCCUUCUGUGCCGGAGCUAACGCGUUAAGCGAGCCGCCUGGGAAGUACGGUCGCAAGACUAAAACUCAAAGAAAUUGACGGGGACCCGCACAAGCGGUGGAGUAUGUGGCUUAAUUCGAUGCAACGCGAAGAACCUUACCUAGGCUUGACAUGCUUGUCGUACUCUCCCGAAAAGGAGAGGUCACUUCGGGUGGACAAUGCACAGGUGCUGCAUGGCCGUCGUCAGCUCGUGUCGUGAGAUGUUUGGUUAAGUCCAGCAACGAGCGCAACCCCUGUGAACUGUUGCCAGCGCGUAAAGGCGGGGACUCUGUUCAGACUGCCCAGAUCAACUGGGA
rnacentral:rRNA from 1 species